GACACAUAUUUCGAACAAGGAUGGUAACUGCAGCAGGCCGACGUUUGUAGAGGUUGUUAGGAAGGGUUCUCAGCAGAUGGCUCUUGGGUUCUUUUGAUUCAGAGGUGAAGGCUGUCAAUGAGCUGGAAAGAACUCAACUAUAACGGAUAGUCUUUGUUAAAGCAGAAAUGACCAGAUUCUCUGUGAAAGGAUCAAAGCGCUCUCAUUCACUUUCUCACUUCACCUGGAGCAAACCCUGAUCUGUUCACAGUGGACAGAGGAGAUGAAGGACCUGCAUUAUUCAAUAUGAAGUGCUAUAAUACUUUUUCGAUAGUUACAUUUUAUUGUAUGUAUUUCCAUGAUGAGACAAGUUGUUAACACGUGUCAUGCAUAUAAACAUUUUUGUGAAUUAACAACAGUGUAUACUUUUUAAAUUGGCCUGUUUAAAUAAAUGGUUUCCUUAAA